rnacentral:rRNA from 1 species
GUACACGAGCGGCGAACGGGUGAGUAACACGUGAGCAACCUGCCCCUGACUCUGGGAUAAGCGGUGGAAACGCCGUCUAAUACCGGAUACGACCCGCCACCUCAUGGUGGAGGGUGGAAAGUUUUUCGGUCAGGGAUGGGCUCGCGGCCUAUCAGCUUGUUGGUGGGGUAACGGCCUACCAAGGCGAUUACGGGUAGCCGGCCUGAGAGGGCGACCGGCCACACUGGGACUGAGACACGGCCCAGACUCCUGCGGGAGGCAGCAGUGGGGAAUAUUGCGCAAUGGGCGAAAGCCUGACGCAGCGACGCCGCGUGGGGGAUGACGGCCUUCGGGUUGUAAACCUCUUUUACCACCAACGCAGGCUCGAAGUUUUCUUCGGGUUGACGGUAGGUGGGGAAUAAGGACCGGCUAACUACGUGCCAGCAGCCGCGGUAAUACGUGGGGGGGGGGAGCGUUGUCCGGAAUUAUUGGGCGUAAAGAGCUCGUAGGCGGCGUGUCGCGUCUGCUGUGAAAGACCGGGGCUUAACU